rnacentral:rRNA from 1 species
GAGUUUGAUCUUGGCUCAGAUUGAACGCUGGCGGCAUGCCUUACACAUGCAAGUCGAACGGCAGCAUGAUCUAGCUUGCUAGAUUGAUGGCGAGUGGCGAACGGGUGAGUAAUACAUCGGAACGUGCCCUGUAGUGGGGGAUAACUAGUCGAAAGAUUAGCUAAUACCGCAUACGACCUGAGGGUGAAAGUGGGGGACCGCAAGGCCUCAUGCUAUAGGAGCGGCCGAUGUCUGAUUAGCUAGUUGUGGGUAAAGGCCCACCAAGGCGACGAUCAGUAGCUGGUCUGAGAGGACGAUCAGCCACACUGGGACUGAGACACGGCCC